AUACGGAGGAUCCGAGCGUUAUCCGGAUUUAUUGGGUUUAAAGGGUGCGCAGGCGGCCAUUUAAGUCAGCGGUUAAAUCGUGGGGCUCAACCCCAUUCUGCCGUUGAAACUGGGUGGCUUGAUUGCGGUCGAGGUUGGCGGAAUUCGUUGUGUAGCGGUGAAAUGCAUAGAUAUGACGAAGAACACCGAUUGCGUAGGCAGCUGACCAGACCGCAAAUGACGCUCAUGCACGAAAGUGCGGGGAUCGAACAGGAUUAGAUACCCUGGUAGUCCGCACAGUAAACGAUGAAUACUUGUUUUCGGCGAUAUAAUGUCGGAGGCAAAGCGAAAGCGAUAAGUAUUCCACCUGGGGAGUACGCCGGCAACGGUGAAACUCAAAUGAAUUGACGGGG
rnacentral:rRNA from 1 species